UUGUAAAUAUAAAAUGGUUCUUAACUUGCCUAGUUAAAUGAAAGGUUAAAUAAAUCAAAUCCAAAUACAAGGAUGGUCUUUUAGCGCCCCGUACAGGUCAGGUUAAGGAUGUGCAGAAUGGGAGAGUUCCAGGUGGAUUUAACAUUCAAGACAGUCGCCUGACCCCACACUGAAGACGGCUCGAAAACACAAACCAUCACAAAUAUGAGUUUCUCUGACCUGACUUCUCCCUUCGACGUUUCUGCCAUGAGCGAAGAACAACUCGAGGUAAAGGAGUCGACAUUCUUCCAGUGGUUGUCGAUGCUUCUGAGCAAACCUGACGAACGUCAACAGAUAUUAGACCAGGGUUAAUUCAACCAUUUAUUUCCGAAAUAUUCCAGAGUUUGGUUGAACAACUUCAAGAUGCCGUCAGUAAUGUGAACGAGGAACUGAAUAUGACUAAGGAAGAGCGAGAGGCUGUGGACAAGGACGUGAAAAGACGCACUGAAGACCUGAACCGGAGGAUGGUGAUGGCGACGCAGACAGGAGGAGUGGGUGAGGCCCUGUUGGAGCUGGAGCAACUGAGGCUGAGGAGGGCUGAGCUGGUCCAGCAACUGGAGGGGAUUAAUAGGUCACAGGGUAAAGGAUCAAAGAAGAAACUGAAGGAUUUAGAUAAAAUUGAUAAGGUGGCGGAGUCUCUAGCAGAGAAGGAGAAGAGUUUGAACCUCCAGUGUCUGGCGAUAAGGAAGUCUCUAGCAGAGAUCCAGUCUCGCUGCCUAGAAGAAAAUCAAUCGCUACAAGUGAGUCAAGCCUCUGGUUGGGUGAAGUUGGAAAAGCUGGAGGAAUCUACCAAGCCAGGUCCAAGGAGGGGUCUACAACCACAAGGCCAAACAGCAGACAACAAGCCAACAAAACACAGAAGACAGAAGUGACGAGCUGUUUAGAUACUGUUAGUAGGUAGAACUGUUUACAUUAUUAUUGGUGAAAUCUAGACAUUUUUGUGGUAGACAUUUAGAAAGAUUUGUAUUAGUAGUUUUGAUGGGUUGGGAAUAUAAAUUGAGAAGCCGUGUUAAUAUUAUCUCUGAGGAACUGAAUAUUUUUCAGUGAAAUAUUUACUGUUCAAUAAAUUAAAGUAAUGAAUCAAUGUAUGUUGACUUGUAAUGUAUGGACUUUAAAACUGCCAUGAAAUGGUUUUUACAUUUAUCUAGGGGAACAUUUAUCUAGGGGAAAAGGAAAUAGAAAGGUUUUCUGUUGUGACUCAUCUUCUCGGCUUCCGUCUUGCCAUUUGUUGGGACAGUGUUGCCAGAGAUACGUAUUAACAUUAGAUUCAUAUUAACACCCACUGUUUACGUUGCCAAUGGGCCACGCGGUGCAUUCUGGGUAAACUCAAGACAAAUCUCCUUCAAGGAGUCAAUGGUAGUCAAUGCACGGAGGGACUGGCGCUGAGACACAAGGUAAGAUGGCAGAGAAGAAGAUGGAGUCGGGGAAUGCACAGGGAGAAGAUGGAGUCGGGGAAUGCACAGGGAGAAGAUGGAGUCGGGGAAUGCACAGGGAGAAGAUGGAGUCGGGGAAUGCACAGGGAGAAGAUGGAGUCGGGGAAUGCACAGGGAGAAGAUGGAGUCGGGGAAUGCACAGGGAGAAGAUGGAGUCGGGGAAUGCACAGGGAGAAGAUGGAGUCGGGGAAUGCACAGGGAGAAGAUGGAGUCGGGGAAUGCACAGGGAGAAGAUGGAGUCGGGGAAUGCACAGGGAGAAGAUGGAGUCGGGGAAUGCACAGGGAGAAGACUACUUCAAGGUCUCAAAGCGAGUGACGUCACCGACUGAAACGCUAUUUAGCGCGCACCACCGCUAACUAGCUAGGCAUUUCACAUCUGUUACAUUGAGGAGGAGCAGUUGAAAUGAUGCAACAUUUGUUCAUGAUGCGAACAUUGGAUGACUUGGUGAAGGAAUGAGAGAAACUGUCUGUUUUCCUCCUUCAACAUAGCAUUUGGAGAGGCCUGUGAACAUAAUCUUCCUAAAUGAUAACUAAGAGGAGUAGGUGGCCCGUACGUUACAAUAAACUUUAAUGAAAUAUUAACAGAAUAUAUUUACAACAGAAUACAUACAAAGUGCAUUGCAAUGUACUGGCUGCCUGCUCCUCUGCCUGCUCCUCUGCCUGCUCCCCUGCCUGCUCCUCUUAAAGGCAGGACUACCUACCUGCCUUUAAGGCGCCUGCAUUCCCACUGCUCUCAUCUCACCUCUAAUUGAGAACUGACAUAUUGGCAUAAUAUAUCUGAUGGUAACAGCAUCACCCCCCAUAAAGACUAUAGACAUGCUUAAAGGUUUUCAGUCAAGCAUGUUGCUAUGUGUAGAGGUUGUUACUGACAAAAGGGAAUAUUAAUCAUAAACUUUGUUGAUUGGCACAUAAUGCUGAGUGAAUAGUGUUCAUUAGGUAAGUGGUGGAUUGGAUGUGGAUGGCAGUCAUCAAAUCAUUCUAAUUCAGAUGUGGUCCUGAUCAACUAAAUAUUCACAGAAAGAAAAACAACAUUACUCUCACUGUUCUUGUUACAGACGCAUUACUAUUUUUCUGGUUUCACGAUGACACUUGAAUAAACACAUGGUGAUAGGCACUGAGGCUUUAAGCAGGUCCAUGAUGCACAGGGAAAAGCUCCUGGGCUUCCCACCAAGCUGCAACAACAGAAGUGGAACUCUCAGUUAAUGAAGACUGGUACACAUGGUACAUAGGCCUACAAACACUGUGUGCAUGUUUUCUCUUGGGGGGGGGGGGUUCAUUAUCAAUCAAAUGUGUUUUAAUAAAGUCAUUUUCUUACAUCAGCAGUUGUCACAAAGUGCUUUACAGAUAGCCAGCCUAUAACCAUAAUAGAUAAGAAAGAAGAGGAGAGGCGCCCAGUACGGUACAAUAAACUUCAGUGAACUAUUAACAGAAUAUAUUUACAGCAGAAUGCAUACAGGGGCAGUCAGCAUUGUACAUCAGGACUCGUUGCAGUUGACAUGCUGACUGCUCCUGUAUGUGGGCUGUACAACAUGAGACAGAUAUCAACACAACAUGAGACAGAUAUCAAUACAACAUGAGACAGAUACAACACGAGACAGAUAUCAAUACAACACGAGACAGAUAUCAAUACAACAUGAGACAGAUAUCAAUACAACACAACAUGAGACAGAUAUCAAUACAAUAAAACAUGAGACAGAUAUCAAUACAACAUGAGACAGAUAUCAAUACAACACAACAUGAGACAGAUAUCAAUACAACACAACAUGAGACAGAUAUCAAUACAACAUGAGACAGAUACAACACGAGACAGAUAUCAAUACAACACGAGACAGAUAUCAAUACAACAUGAGACAGAUAUCAAUACAACAUGAGACAGAUAUCAAUACAACACAACAUGAGACAGAUAUCAAUACAAUAAAACAUGAGACAGAUAUCAAUACAACAUGAGACAGAUAUCAACACAACAUGAGACAGAUAUCAAUACAAUACAACAUGAGACAGAUAUCAAUACAAUACAACAUGAGACAGAUAUCAAUACAAUGUCUCAGACAGAUAUCAAUACAACAUGAGACAGAUAUCAAUACAACAUGAGACAGAUAUCAAUACAACACAACAUGAGACAGAUAUCAAUACAAUACAACAUGAGACAGAUAUCAAUACAAUGUCUCAGACAGAUAUCAAUACAACAUGAGACAGAUAUCAAUACAACACAACAUGAGACAGAUAUCAAUACAAUACAACAUGAGACAGAUAUCAAUACAACAUGAGACAGAUAUCAAUACAACAUGAGACAGAUAUCAAUACAACACAACAUGAGACAGAUAUCAAUACAAUACAACAUGAGACAGAUAUCAAUACAACAUGAGACAGAUAUCAACACAACAUGAGACAGAUAUCAAUACAAUACAACAUGAGACAGAUAUCAAUACAACACAACAUGAGACAGAUAUCAAUACAACAUGAGACAGAUAUCAAUACAAUACGAGACAGAUAUCAAUACAAUACGAGACAGAUAUCAAUACAACAUGAGACAGAUAUCAAUACAAUACAACAUGAGACCGAUAUCAAUACAACACAACAUGAGACAGAUAUCAAUACAACAUGAGACAGAUAUCAAUACAACAUGAGACAGAUAUCAAUACAAUACGAGACAGAUAUCAAUACAAUACGAGACAGAUAUCAAUACAACAUGAGACAGAUAUCAAUACAAUACAACAUGAGACAGAUAUCAAUACAACACAACAUGAGACAGAUAUCAAUACAACAUGAGACAGAUAUCAAUACAACAUGAGACAGAUAUCAAUACAACAUGAGACAGAUAUCAAUACAACAUGAGACAGAUAUCAAUACAAUACAACAUGAGACAUAUCAACACAACAUGAGACAGAUAUCAAUACAACAUGAGACAGAUAUCAACACAACAUGAGACAGAUAUCAAUACAACAUGAGACAGAUAUCAAUACAACACAACAUGAGACAGAUAUCAACACAAAAUGAGACAGAUAUCAAUACAACAUGAGACAGAUAUCAAUACAAUGUCUCAGACAGAUAUCAAUACAACAUGAGACAGAUAUCAAUACAACAUGAGACAGAUAUCAAUACAACACGAGACAGAUAUCAAUACAACACAACAUGAGACAGAUAUCAACACAACAUGAGACAGAUAUCAAUACAACAUGAGACAGAUAUCAAUACAAUGUCUCAGACAGAUAUCAAUACAACAUGAGACAGAUAUCAAUACAACAUGAGACAGAUAUCAAUACAAUGUCUCAGACAGAUAUCAAUACAACAUGAGACAGAUAUCAAUACAACAUGAGACAGAUAUCAAUACAACAUGAGACAGAUAUCAAUACAAUGUCUCAGACAGAUAUCAAUACAACAUGAGACAGAUAUCAAUACAACAUGAGACAGAUAUCAAUACAACACAACAUGAGACAGAUAUCAAUACAACACAACAUGAGUAAAUUAUAAUAGGCCCUCCCCCAUCCCCCAUCCCCAAAAUCCCUUCCAACCCUGUCCAACAUCAAUGG
ensembl:lncRNA